GCAAGUCGAACGAGAAAGCUCUUUCGGGAGUGAGUAUAGUGGCGCACGGGUGAGUAACACGUAGGUGAUCUACCCUUUAGUGGGGGAUAACCCAGAGAAAUUUGGGCUAAUACCGCAUAAGUAGUACAAAAGUGAAAAUAGUACUAGAAAGAAUGCCUCUACUUGUAAGCAUUCACUGAAGGAUGAGCUUGCGUAGCAUUAGCUUGUUGGUGGGGUAAUGGCCUACCAAGGCGAUGAUGCUUAGCUGGUCUGAGAGGAUGAUC
rnacentral:rRNA from 1 species